ACCAUCUGUAGCAGAAACAAUGGCAUCAAAUUAUCUUUGAAUACCCACUGAAAAAACAUAAAGCUUUUUUUUUUAUUCUUCUUCUGUACGGUGGGGGAUAGAGCAGUGUUAGGAUAACUGACUUUUUUGUUGUUCUCUGGGUGCAUUCUUCUCGCUCCCCCUCUCUCUCCCCCUCACCCUCUCUCUCUUCUCUCUCCCCUCUCCCUCUCUCUCUCUCUUUUAAAAAAUCAGCCAUUUGGGGUUUUAAGCCAUAAACGAUUUUUCUUGUUGCAGGGGAUUGCAGUGGCAAAGCUAGGCUAGGUCUUGGAUGCUGGUGUAAGGCGAUGCGGGUGAAGGCAGGAGGCUGAUGGAAAGACUGGGGGGAAGAAAAGCCGAAAUGGAUUCACGGUGCCUUGGAUGGAGGACGAGAGGGGAACUGCAAGCUCCUUCAACUCGUUCUGUCCGGUGAGAAGUGAUCAAGCUUGGGCUGACAAGAGGCUCAGGGAGCCCUCACGUUCUUUCGCUUUUUUACCUGCCAAUCAAACUGCUACAAGACAACACCCUGAUCUAGCAUGGACAUCGCCCGUCCAAGCCUGUAGCCCCAAAUCGGAUAAUCUCUGCAGCUGAUAACAAGCAAAACAGAAGCCAGGCAACAGCCAUAUUAAAGAAGAAAAUCAACUCUGAGAUCCAACUUAGAAGUAAAGUUUCAUUCAAGAUAAGGCUUAUGAUUUAGGAGAUUCUGACCUGGCUUGCCUCAUUCUAAGACUUUUAUCAUCUGUUUUCAAAACCAAAGGAAGACCUCAUUUUCUGUUUUCAGGAGUUCCUCAUGCUUUGCUAGCCAUUGGGUCUUUAAGGAAAGUUUCCAAGAGUUCCCAGCUGGGAAGGACAGUCUGAGUUCAUCACAACAGUGAGCUGACAUCACAGUUUGGGUGUCCCACCAACCUGGCUGCCCACUUCAAAAUGUCAAGAACCAUACUAUCUCAUUGAAAGACCUCUGUUUUAACGAAGUGCAGUUGGAUCACUUGGCAAGAUCAUCUCAAUCUAUGUCUCUGACCUUUCCAUUCAAGGGCUGUUUUAAGUGCAAGACAAAAAAGGAAAUGAUUCCUGAUUUAUAUUUUGUUUUCUAAAAAUUAAGAUGAACAUAGCCGGGCGUUGUGGCGGGCGCCUGUAGUCCCAGCUACUCGGGAGGCUGAGGCAAGAGAAUCGCUUAAGCCCCGGAGUUGGAGGUUGCUGUGAGCUGUGUGAGGCCACGGCACUCUACCGAGGGCCAUAAAGUGAGACUCUGUCUCUACAAAAAAAAAAAAUAAAUAAAUAAGUUCAAGAAAAUUAAGAUGAACAAAUACUUGGUUUUAUGUCCAUUCCAUUCUAGGAACUUUAGUGGUCAAAAUGGGUCACAGGAUUAGGUUAAAACAGUCUUCUAAAAUUUCUAUAUUGAUUUUUGGAGUAUCUGUUACUACAUUUAUGUAAUUUAUCAUUUUUUUCUUGGCUUAAAGUCAAGAUGAAAAAUGAUAUUUAGAUCAGAGGCACUGUCUUGUUAUAAAACCACUGCUUUUUAAAAUGCAAAUCUACCCGUCCUUCACCAAGGCUUGACCAUUUGUGCAGGAAUGUGUGUGUGCAUGCCCACACACGUACACAUAUACGCACACCCAGCACCCAAACGGUAAAGGAGGUCCUUUCUAAACUUUUAGGACUUAAAUCAUAUAAGAAAUAGAUGAGAAAAUUAAAGGACGUCAAGAACAGUAACAAUAAGGAAUGUCAAUAAUUUCAUUUUAUAAAAAGUCAUUAUAUAGUACUUAGGUUUUUGUUUCUGUUUUUUUUUUUUUUUUUAAGAGACAGUCUCACUUUGUCACCCUCAGUAGAGUGCUGCGGCGUCACAGCUCACAGCAACCUCCAGCUCUUGAGCUUAGGCAAUUCUCUUGCCUCAGUCUCCUAAAUAGCUGGGACCACAGGAGCCCGCCACAACACCUGGCUAUUUUUUGCAGUUUGGCCGGGGCUGCGUUUGAACCUGCCACCCUUGAUAUAUGGGGCUGGCGCCCUACUCACUAAAGCCACAGAUGCUGCCCAGUACUUAGGUAUUUUUAAAGACAAGAUGCCAGUCUGAAAGUUUUAUUCUCCCUAGGAAAGUAGAAUUCUCUUUGAGAAUUAUAGCUUAUGAACUCAGAAUGUAAAUGUGAUCAUCAAGAAGACAGACUGCCAGGAUGGAAGAUGAUGAAUGUUUC